GUCAGGUCUGGGAAUUGGCAUAGUUUGUGUAUACCUGUAUAUCCAGUUUCACCUCUGUGAUAAGCCUGUCUAAACUAGUUGAAAAGGGGUCUGGAUCCACUCCCAGAAUUUGUCCUUCCGCAAAUAUUAGAGGCUGAGUAUACACGGUGUGACGAAUCAAUCCGGACUCUGAUUUCACCACAAGCUGCAGUUGUUACUGUUGUUGGUGCAACUUUCAGGAUGUCAGCCACAACAGCAUUGAGGUCGGCCACCGAUAUUGACUGAUAUGGCCUGGCUUAUGCCAGAGGUGUUGGAUGGGAGGGGUUGAUUUCAAGAACAUGUACUGGUCAGGUAUGUGUUCAUCAAACUGGGGGAAAGCAUUUCUUCAUGUACCCAGCUUUCUGCAUGGGGGCAUUUGUAUGUUGAAAAAGGGAAAGGGAGAAAUAAACUGUUGCCACAAAAUUGGGCAUUUGUGAGCAUGUCUGAGGAGCCACAGUAUUAAUCUGAGGAGUUGUGAGAUGAUUUACAGAAUAAGAAAGGAGACAAAACCUCUAAAAUCCAUCAAAAUUUAAAAGGAAGUCGGUUAUAGUUGUAGACAUAUGCAACUGGUGACGACGGUCGCAUGACAUUAGAAACAUGACCUUGUUUUAACACUCUUUUGGGAAAACUACUUGUUACUAGGUGAAAAUGUGAUGAGGAGUUUAAGGGGUUAUGAAUUAAAAUUGCUGGAAAAAACUGAUCCAAGGUACAAUGCACAUAAGUAAACUUUUUCCACAUAAUUUUGGCCAUAUAGAGUACAAACAGACAAUAUUUUACCUUGUACAGCAAAUAGACAUGCUAAACACAUUAUAGUCCAGUUAAAACCAUUUUUUGUGGGCAGCAGCAUCAACUGAUACUUCAGAUUAGUCUUUAUCUGCCAGUUUUAAGAAACGUGACUCGGUUUCUGUGUGGGUGCAGUGAAAAAAAGGCUCUGACUGAUUCUGAUCAGAGCCAACAUUCAGAAAAUCCCACGGCUCCAGCAUUCAUGUGCAUACAGUCAAGAGCUUUAGGUAACUGAAUCUAAAUAGCAAUUGAUGGCUUAGAUUGUAUCUGGAGUGGGGGGACAGUUAAUGCAAAUAAAUCACAUUUACAACACAACACCAGUUUCACAUCUCCUGCAGUCUGCUAACCCACACCCCCCCACGCUUCACACUUGCAAACAAAGUAUUCCCUUUUGGUGUCCAGGCUAUCGUCUGCAUUUGUUUCACACCCCGAGUGUUAAGGAGAGGUGUUUAUGCGCAGCCUCCAUGGUAGCUAUAUGAAUAAACUCUUGGCUUCUACUUUAGGGGCAGCAGGGAAUUUCAUUCACCCACCUAUGCCUAUGAUUACCUGUUGCUUCUUCCAUUGUGGUUUUAUACCCAUAUGCAGAUUCUGGAUCUGUGACAUAGCUGUUGUGGAUGUGUAAUGCUGUUGAAAUAUUAUACGUGAUAUUGGGCUUAAUAAAGCCUUUUGUCACUAAUUAAGUGUAUGUUUUUCUGUACCAAAUACUUGGUAAAUGGAAGUUUCAUUAACAUGUGAGCCUUGAAACUGGUUGAAACCCCAUUACAUGUUAAAAAUGAAAUUAAAAAAUGCAUAUUUAUAUCUUAAGGUAAACAAAUGUGCAUCCUGCUUGCAACAAAAUUGGUGAGGUUUCUGGUCCAUUAUUUUAUAUGAGCUAUGAAUGUCGUCAUUAUUAAAAAUCAAACUGGUCUUCUCUUGUCUUUUCCCACUUAUGAACAGGUAUGUGGUACAGCAGAAACACAGGAAGAAAAUUGGCAGGACUCCCACUUAACUGAGAAAACUGAUAAAAACAUUUAAAUAAGAGAAACAAUUAGACUGAAUGUAUCCUCACUGGGAGUAUUGUUCAUAAUCAGUUUUGUCAGGACAUGAUACAAAUCUUGCAGGAACUGAAAUGAUCAAUAAACCUGGCUCAGCAAUGCUGUGUUGAAAGAAUAGAUAAGUUCCCCUGCAGCUAGUGUUUUUCAAGCAUCAUGUCUUGCUUCAUGUGUUCAUAUACUCCUGACUUUGGAGUUGUGUUGGUGACUAUUUGUGAAUUUUAAAUGUGAAACCAAUAAAUAAAUGUACUACUUGUGAGACAACAGUACUAAUAAAUGCUACAGACUA